rnacentral:rRNA from 1 species
UACGUAGGGGCCUAGCGUUGUCCGGAUUUAUUGGGCGUAAAGAGCUCGUAGGCGGCUUGGUAAGUCAGGUGUGAAAUCUCCACGCUCAACGUGGAGGGGCCACCCGAAACUGCCAUGGCUUGAGUCCGGUAGGGGAGUGCGGAAUUCCCGGUGUAGAGGUGAAAUUCGUAGAUAUCGGGAGGAACACCAGUGGCGAAGGCGGCGACCUGGACGGACAUUGACGCUGAGACGCGAAAGCGUGGGGAGCAAACAGG